UACGAAGGGGGCUAGCGUUGCUCGGAAUCACUGGGCGUAAAGCGCACGUAGGCGGAUUGUUAAGUCAGGGGUGAAAUCCUGGAGCUCAACUCCAGAGCUGCCUUUGAUACUGGCGAUCUUGAGUCCGGGAGAGGUGAGUGGAACUGCGAGUGUAGAGGUGAAAUUCGUAGAUAUUCGCAAGAACACCAGUGGCGAAGGCGGCACUCUGGGCCGAUACUGACACUGAGGAGCGAAAGCGUGGGGAGCGAACAGG
rnacentral:rRNA from 1 species